GGGUUGUGAGGUUAAGCGACUAAGCGUACACGGUGGAUGCCCUGGCAGUCAGAGGCGAUGAAGGACGUGCUAAUCUGCGAUAAGCGUCGGUAAGGUGAUAUGAACCGUUAUAACCGGCGAUUUCCGAAUGGGGAAACCCAGUGUGAUUCGUCACACUAUCAUUAACUGAAUCCAUAGGUUAAUGAGGCGAACCGGGGGAACUGAAACAUCUAAGUACCCCGAGGAAAAGAAAUCAACCGAGAUUCCCCCAGUAGCGGCGAGCGAACGGGGAGCAGCCCAGAGCCUGAAUCAGUGUGUGUGUUAGUGGAAGCGUCUGGAAAGGCGUGCGAUACAGGGUGACAGCCCCGUACACAAAAAUGCACAUGCUGUGAGCUCGAUGAGUAGGGCGGGACACGUGGUAUCCUGUCUGAAUAUGGGGGGACCAUCCUCCAAGGCUAAAUACUCCUGACUGACCGAUAGUGAACCAGUACCGUGAGGGAAAGGCGAAAAGAACCCCGGCGAGGGGAGUGAAAAAGAACCUGAAACCGUGUACGUACAAGCAGUGGGAGCACAGAGCAAUCUGUGUGACUGCGUACCUUUUGUAUAAUGGGUCAGCGACUUAUAUUCUGUAGCAAGGUUAACCGAAUAGGGGAGCCGAAGGGAAACCGAGUCUUAACUGGGCGUUAAGUUGCAGGGUAUAGACCCGAAACCCGGUGAUCUAGCCAUGGGCAGGUUGAAGGUUGGGUAACACUAACUGGAGGACCGAACCGACUAAUGUUGAAAAAUUAGCGGAUGACUUGUGGCUGGGGGUGAAAGGCCAAUCAAACCGGGAGAUAGCUGGUUCUCCCCGAAAGCUAUUUAGGUAGCGCCUCGUGAAUUCAUCUCCGGGGGUAGAGCACUGUUUCGGCAAGGGGGUCAUCCCGACUUACCAACCCGAUGCAAACUGCGAAUACCGGAGAAUGUUAUCACGGGAGACACACGGCGGGUGCUAACGUCCGUCGUGAAGAGGGAAACAACCCAGACCGCCAGCUAAGGUCCCAAAGUCAUGGUUAAGUGGGAAACGAUGUGGGAAGGCCCAGACAGCCAGGAUGUUGGCUUAGAAGCAGCCAUCAUUUAAAGAAAGCGUAAUAGCUCACUGGUCGAGUCGGCCUGCGCGGAAGAUGUAACGGGGCUAAACCAUGCACCGAAGCUGCGGCAGCGACGCUUAUGCGUUGUUGGGUAGGGGAGCGUUCUGUAAGCCUGCGAAGGUGUGCUGUGAGGCAUGCUGGAGGUAUCAGAAGUGCGAAUGCUGACAUAAGUAACGAUAAAGCGGGUGAAAAGCCCGCUCGCCGGAAGACCAAGGGUUCCUGUCCAACGUUAAUCGGGGCAGGGUGAGUCGACCCCUAAGGCGAGGCCGAAAGGCGUAGUCGAUGGGAAACAGGUUAAUAUUCCUGUACUUGGUGUUACUGCGAAGGGGGGACGGAGAAGGCUAUGUUGGCCGGGCGACGGUUGUCCCGGUUUAAGCGUGUAGGCUGGUUUUCCAGGCAAAUCCGGAAAACUAAGGCUGAGGCGUGAUGACGAGGCACUACGGUGCUGAAGCAACAAAUGCCCUGCUUCCAGGAAAAGCCUCUAAGCAUCAGGUAACAUCAAAUCGUACCCCAAACCGACACAGGUGGUCAGGUAGAGAAUACCAAGGCGCUUGAGAGAACUCGGGUGAAGGAACUAGGCAAAAUGGUGCCGUAACUUCGGGAGAAGGCACGCUGAUAUGUAGGUGAAGCGACUUGCUCGUGGAGCUGAAAUCAGUCGAAGAUACCAGCUGGCUGCAACUGUUUAUUAAAAACACAGCACUGUGCAAACACGAAAGUGGACGUAUACGGUGUGACGCCUGCCCGGUGCCGGAAGGUUAAUUGAUGGGGUCAGCGCAAGCGAAGCUCUUGAUCGAAGCCCCGGUAAACGGCGGCCGUAACUAUAACGGUCCUAAGGUAGCGAAAUUCCUUGUCGGGUAAGUUCCGACCUGCACGAAUGGCGUAAUGAUGGCCAGGCUGUCUCCACCCGAGACUCAGUGAAAUUGAACUCGCUGUGAAGAUGCAGUGUACCCGCGGCAAGACGGAAAGACCCCGUGAACCUUUACUAUAGCUUGACACUGAACAUUGAGCCUUGAUGUGUAGGAUAGGUGGGAGGCUUUGAAGUGUGGACGCCAGUCUGCAUGGAGCCGACCUUGAAAUACCACCCUUUAAUGUUUGAUGUUCUAACGUUGACCCGUGAUCCGGGUUGCGGACAGUGUCUGGUGGGUAGUUUGACUGGGGCGGUCUCCUCCUAAAGAGUAACGGAGGAGCACGAAGGUUGGCUAAUCCUGGUCGGACAUCAGGAGGUUAGUGCAAUGGCAUAAGCCAGCUUGACUGCGAGCGUGACGGCGCGAGCAGGUGCGAAAGCAGGUCAUAGUGAUCCGGUGGUUCUGAAUGGAAGGGCCAUCGCUCAACGGAUAAAAGGUACUCCGGGGAUAACAGGCUGAUACCGCCCAAGAGUUCAUAUCGACGGCGGUGUUUGGCACCUCGAUGUCGGCUCAUCACAUCCUGGGGCUGAAGUAGGUCCCAAGGGUAUGGCUGUUCGCCAUUUAAAGUGGUACGCGAGCUGGGUUUAGAACGUCGUGAGACAGUUCGGUCCCUAUCUGCCGUGGGCGCUGGAGAACUGAGGGGGGCUGCUCCUAGUACGAGAGGACCGGAGUGGACGCAUCACUGGUGUUCGGGUUGUCAUGCCAAUGGCACUGCCCGGUAGCUAAAUGCGGAAGAGAUAAGUGCUGAAAGCAUCUAAGCACGAAACUUGCCCCGAGAUGAGUUCUCCCUGACUCCUUGAGAGUCCUGAAGGAACGUUGAAGACGACGACGUUGAUAGGCCGGGUGUGUAAGCGCAGCGAUGCGUUGAGCUAACCGGUACUAAUGAACCGUGAGGCUUAACCUUACAACGCCGAAG
rnacentral:rRNA from 1 species